CAGAAGAAGUUUUCUAUUGCACGGUACUUGUUUUGUUUUAAUUGAUUUUUUUUUCGUAUACUUUAAAUGUUUACUUUUUGUAUAUAGGCCGUCAGCUGGACUGGAAAAUUCGUUCGUUUCGCUCCAGCAAUUGCGGGUCUAAAUUUUUUUAACAGUUGUACCGAAAUACACUACCAGAGAAUGAUACUACAAAAGUUCUCCACAUUUCGUCCAGCAGUUUUUUGAUAAUUUGACUCAAAAAAGCGAACUAUUUGUCCAUUGUGGACGUUCAAAAAUGUACCGCGCCUACGUUAAAAAAAUCCGCCGCGUGUGACGCAUCGUACCACGUGACGUGAACUGUCCAAUUAGACACCAGAUAUGAGGUCGCAGGUCAUGACAUUUAACAAACAUGGCGGCGUCCAUUGGCAAAAGUGCGUCAACGUAAACAUUGACCGGUGCAAAAAAGAAGUGUUUGCACUCAUAUAAUCUGUCACAUUUGAGGGGGGAAAUGCGAAGGAUCUGAUGUCCGGUGAUAGUAAGUUCAUUUCCUGUGCCAAAGAGUGGCUGAAUUUUACAAUGGCAUCGCCGAAUAUACCCACGAUGUGUGGGCAAAUGAUCUGCUAUGUCUGUAUCGUACUGUUACAGUACUACUACUACAUCAUGCACUACCGGCGCAUGUAAACAAGGCAGUCCGGCCGGCCGAUCUCACCGUGGCGGUUUUUAUAGAUAGUAAACGUCUCGGUGCUGCAAAAAAACGCAAACCAGACACUUCAGCUGAGACCCAGAUUUCUUCACCGAAAAAGCUCCGGGCAAAGUGUUAUGCUGCACACAAACUCAACAUGCUCAACCAGGAUUUUGAUUGAUGAAAACCUCAAUUCAAGGACAAGCUGCAGCAGUACAACAAGCAGAACUUCCGUUGGAGGCCUAAAGGAUGAACGUCAGGAAAAGGGAGAUGUUCUGCGACUGACUGUUCAACCCCGAUCAACAACUUAGUUUCAUGAGAAUGUCCUAGCUUGCUGAACUGUUGAAAUCAUGAAAUGAUUUAGAAGCCGAAGGAACUGGCCUUGGAUCUUUAUAUCGAACUGAAAGUUGACAUCUCGGCUUAGAAGAGAAUAUCCACAGGUCUCUUUCUUUGAUAUAUGCGACAUCAUCUACACCACUACUUUAUCUGCUGGAGGUGUGGUUGAAUCUCUGGGGACUUCAGAGGAGGAUUCAAAACUGAAACUGUGGCUUAGAAAGCAAGACAUACGCUCCAUCCUGUUGUUAUGCCGUUACUGCACAAGAUUUGAUGAGAACUUUGAUGAAGUGAUAACAUUUACUUGAAGUUGUAUCAGCACGACUAGUUAGCAUUUGACAUUAUAAUGAAAAUAAUGAGUAACUCUAGAUUUCAAAACUACAUAACUGUAUCCUUCUGUUCAUUAGUGUUGGUUUUAUUCAUUUUAAUUCUUUUCAAUUAUUAAAAAUUAGUUCCAGUAGAAAGGCAAAUUCUGUGAAUUUUAACAGUGAGACUAGCCACACAUGACAAGCCAAAUCACUCUCUUUAAUGUGUAAGCAUACAAAAUAGCAUGAGUUAUGGUUUUGUUUUCUUUUUAUUGAUAUACAUGCAAACAUUUUUCGGUGCUAAUCAAUGUAUCAAUAAAUAAAAAGCUGAAAUUUUCUUUGACAAAAGACUGAUCUUAAGGCUUUUCUCCAAACCAACAUGGCUGUUUUGAUUAGAUAGCAAAUAAAUGUACAAUGGUUGAUUUUUGAAAUGAUUAAACCAGACUCUGAUUUCUAUCUGAUGGUCCUUUGAUUUAUAAUUGUAUUUAAAGCCUGUUUCAUUCCAAAAAAAGGUGGUCUUUCUUACAAGUAGAAGGUUCUUUAAGUGACGUACCUGGUUCACCACAGUAGAUCCAGAGGGUUGGGGGCAUAGCACCCAUUUUUUUUUUUUUUUUAAAUAUUCGUUAGCUUGCUUUGUUUAAAGGGACAUGUCUUGUCUGCUUUCCUGUUUCUUCUGCUGGUUACAUGUACAGGUAUUUAUUUACUCUAAAGACACCUCCAUUUUGGGCACCCCCUCACUUUCAUUAAUGAUGAGCUGGUUCCAC